rnacentral:rRNA from 1 species
AACGCGAAGAACCUUACCAAGGUUUGACAUGGCCGGAAAAGCAUCAGAGAUGGUGUGUCCUUCGGGGUCGGUCACAGGUGGUGCAUGGCUGUCGUCAGCUCGUGUCGUGAGAUGUUGGGUUAAGUCCCGCAACGAGCGCAACCCUCGUCCUAUGUUGCCAGCGGGUAAUGCCGGGGACUCAUGGGAGACUGCCGGGGUCAACUCGGAGGAAGGUGGGGAUGACGUCAAGUCAUCAUGCCCCUUAUGUCUUGGGCUGCAAACAUGCUACAAUGGCCGGUACAGAGGGCUGCGAACUCGCGAGAGUAAGCGAAUCCCGGAAAGCCGGUCUCAGUUCGGAUCGGGGUCUGCAACUCGGCCCCGUGAAGCUGGAGUCGCUAGUAAUCGCGGAUCAGCAACGCCGCGGUGAAUACGUUCCCGGGCCUUGUA